AGGGAUGCAACACGAGGACUUUCCAGGAGGUCACCCAUCCUAGUACUACUCUCGCCCAAGCACGCUUAACUGCGGAGUUUUGAUGGGAUCUGGUGCAUUAGUGCUGGUAUGAUCGCAUCC
rnacentral:rRNA from 1 species